CAGGCCUAACACAUGCAAGUCGAACGCGAAAGUUCUUUCGGGAAUGAGUAGAGUGGCGCACGGGUGAGUAACGCGUGGAUAAUCUGCCUUCAAAUUUGGGAUAACAGUUGGAAACGACUGCUAAUACCGGAUACGCUGACAACUUAUACUUGUCGGGAAAGAUGGCCUCUGCUUGCAAGCUAUUGUUUGAAGAUGAGUCCGCGUACCAUUAGCUAGUUGGUAGGGUAAUGGCCCACCAAGGCGACGAUGGUUAGCUGGUCUGAGAGGAUGAUCAGUCACACUGGAACUGAAACACGGUCCAGACUCCUACGGGAGGCAGCAGUGGGGAAUAUUGCGCAAUGGGCGAAAGCCUGACGCAGCGACGCCGCGUGAGGGAUGAAGGUUUUCGAAUCGUAAACCUCUGUCAGAAGGGAAGAAGUGUAGUCGUGCUAAUCAGCGGCUAUUUGACGGUACCUUCAAAGGAAGCACCGGCUAACUCCGUGCCAGCAGCCGCGGUAAUACGGAGGGUGCGAGCGUUAAUCGGAAUUACUGGGCGUAAAGCGUGCGUAGGCUGUUUUGUAAGUCAGAGGUGAAAUGCCAGGGCUCAACCUUGGAACUGCCUUUGAUACUGCUUAACUAGAAUUCGGGAGAGGGUAGUGGAAUUCCAGGU
rnacentral:rRNA from 1 species